rnacentral:rRNA from 1 species
GGACGAACGCUGGCGGCGUGCCUAAUACAUGCAAGUCGAACGAACGGAGGAAGAGCUUGCUCUUCCAAAGUUAGUGGCGGACGGGUGAGUAACACGUGGGCAACCUGCCUGUAAGUUGGGGAUAACUCCGGGAAACCGGGGCUAAUACCGAAUGAUAAAGUGUGGCGCAUGCCACGCUUUUGAAAGAUGGUUUCGGCUAUCGCUUACAGAUGGGCCCGCGGUGCAUUAGCUAGUUGGUAGGGUAAUGGCCUACCAAGGCAACGAUGCAUAGCCGACCUGAGAGGGUGAUCGGCCACACUGGGACUGAGACACGGCCCAGACUCCUACGGGAGGCAGCAGUAGGGAAUCUUCCGCAAUGGACGAAAGUCUGACGGAGCAACGCCGCGUGUAUGAAGAAGGUUUUCGGAUCGUAAAGUACUGUUGUUAGAGAAGAACAAGGAUAAGAGUAACUGCUUGUCCCUUGACGGUAUCUAACCAGAAAGCCACGGC